UGGUGUUGAGGUAAAGCCAAG
ensembl:piRNA 21ur-2296 ncRNA